UACGGAGGAUCCGAGCGUUAUCCGGAUUUAUUGGGUUUAAAGGGUGCGUAGGCGGUUUGAUAAGUUAGAGGUGAAAUGUCGGGGCUCAACCCCGAAACUGCCUCUAAUACUGUUGGACUAGAGAAUAGUUGCGGUAGGCGGAAUGUAUGGUGUAGCGGUGAAAUGCUUAGAGAUCAUACAGAACACCGACUGCGAAGGCAGCUUACCAAACUAUAUCUGACGUUGAGGCACGAAAGCGUGGGUAGCAAACAGG
rnacentral:rRNA from 1 species